GAGGGUACAGCUCAAGUGGCAGAGCGCGUGCUUAGCGGGCACGAGGUCCUGGGUUCAAUCCCCAGUGCCUCCU
rfam:Camelus ferus unplaced genomic scaffold scaffold1720, whole genome shotgun sequence.